rnacentral:rRNA from 1 species
GGUGAAUUUUCCGCAAUGGGCGAAAGCCUGACGGAGCAAGACCGCNGUGGGGGAAGAAGGCUCUUGGGUUGUAAACCCCUUUUCUCUGGGAAGAAAGUUGUGAAAGCAGCCUGACGGUACCAGAGGAAUCAGCAUCGGCUAACUCCGUGCCAGCAGCCGCGGUAAGACGGAGGAUGCAAGCGUUAUCCGGAAUGAUUGGGCGUAAAGCGUCCGCAGGUGGCAGUUCAAGUCUGCUGUCAAAGACCGGGGCUCAACCUCGGAAAGGCAGUGGAAACUGAACAGCUAGAGUAUGGUAGGGGCAAAGGGAAUUCCUGGUGUAGCGGUGAAAUGCGUAGAGAUCAGGAAGAACAUCGGUGGCGAAGGCGCUUUGCUGGACCAUAACUGACACUCAGGGACGAAAGCUAGGGGAGCGAAUGGGAUUAGAUACCCCAGUAGUCCUAGCCGUAAACGAUGGAUACUAGGUGUUGUCUGUAUCGACCCGGACAGUGCCGUAGCUAACG